rnacentral:rRNA from 1 species
AGAGCAUGAUUGGGUAUAAAGCGUGCGUAGGUGGUUUGUUAAGUCUGAUGUGAAAGCCCUGGGCUCAACCUGGGAAUUGCAUUGGAUACUGGCAGGCUAGAGUGCGGUAGAGGGUAGUGGAAUUCCCGGUGUAGCAGUGAAAUGCGUAGAGAUCGGGAGGAACAUCCGUGGCGAAGGCGACUACCUGGACCAGCACUGACACUGAGGCACGAAAGCGUGGGGAGCAAACAGGAUUAGAUACCCUGGUAGUCCACGCCCUAAACGAUGCGAACUGGAUGUUGGGUUCAACUAGGAACUCAGUAUCGAAGCUAACGCGUUAAGUUCGCCGCCUGGGGAGUACGGUCGCAAGACUGAAACUUAAAAAAAUUAGUACGGA